GACGAACGCUGGCGGCGUGCUUAACACAUGCAAGUCGAGCGAUGAAGCACCUUCGGGUGUGAAUUAGCGGCGAACGGGUGAGGAACACGUGAAGAAUCUGCCUUCAACUCUGGGAUAACUCCGGGAAACCGGGGCUAAUACCGGAUAUGAGCCUUGAUCGCAUGAUCGGGGCUGGAAAGUUUUUCGGUUGAAGAUGACUUCGCGGCCUAUCAGCUUGUUGGUGAGGUAAUGGCUCACCAAGGCGACGACGGGUAGCCGGCCUGAGAGGGCGACCGGCCACACUGGGACUGAGACACGGCCCAGACUCCUACGGGAGGCAGCAGUGGGGAAUAUUGGGCAAUGGAGGAAACUCUGACCCAGCGACGCCGCGUGAGGGAUGAAGGCCUUCGGGUUGUAAACCUCUUUCAGUAGGGAAGAAGCGAAAGUGACGGUGCCUACAGAAGAAGCACCGGCUAACUAUGUGCCAGCCGCCGCUGUAA
rnacentral:rRNA from 1 species